rnacentral:lncRNA from 1 species
CCGCCGAAAGUGCCCUGUCCAGCCCUCUUUUGCAUGUUUUCUAUGAUUGUUUCAUGAUGUUCUAGGGAGUUUUUGGGGGAUGUUUUUAGAGUUAUGUUCUAGUUGUUUGGUCCCUCAUUUGAGUCCACCUGUGUAGGUUCGGACCCGAGGAACCGAGGACCCCAGCAGUGAGUUCAGCUGCUUCUGAGUCAGUAAAGCUUCAGCCAGAGGUGAGUAGAAUAACUUUUAUGUUUUAAAAGUAAAUAAAUCAGUUUUAGCAUGAUUCACGCAUCAUGAAUGCCAUGAGAUAUAAUAGGGUGUUUGCAUUAGACUCACGAAUAUGUUGCAUUGCAAAAAAUGUUAAUGGUGUGGAUGAAUGUUGAAUGAUCCUUUAGUCCUCAUAUGUUAUGAUGAUGAUGAUACGGUACGGAAGACCAGUGAGGCCCAUUCUAUGCCCCUGGCACCAUGUAAGAGAAAGACCAGCGAGGCCCAUUCUACACCUCUGGCACAGUUGGACCAUGUUAUGUUAUGUUAUGUUAUGUAAGGGAAAGACCAGCGAGGCCCAUUCUACGCCCCUGGCACAGUUGGACCAUGUAGGGGACUAUUGGUGACAAAUUCAUCCUUGAUAUGAUUAGCUGUGAUGUGAUGCAUUUCAUGUUACCAUAUGUUUUAAAUGUUUUAUUAUUCUGCUCACUGGGCUUUAUAGCUCACCCCUCUCCCUUAACCCCCAGGUUUGCAGGUACAGGGUAGACCAGGAGGUCAGCCAGAGUAAUGAAGUCUUGUGUAUGUAAUAGCUAGAAUGUGGACAUGACAAAUUGUAUAAUGAUGUAGAGUUGCGAAUAGUUAUGUAAUGUAAUGACAUUGAGGAUUAGAGAUUGUGCUUGACCCUAUGUGUAUGGUAUCCCUUUUAAUACAUGAUCUAUGAUGUUUAUGCAAACCAACUCAACGUAUGUUACAUCGCCCAUUGGGGGCAUUGAUGAGAUCCCAAAGAGGGGUCAAUGUUUAUAGUUAUGUUUAUGUUCAGUGCAUGCACAGGUUGAGUUUGGUGUAUGAGAGAAUGUAUGAAAGAAAAGUUUUAAUUUUUAUGUAUGAUUGUUGAUCAUGUAUGGGAUUAAACAGGUUUACAGGUUACAUGUCAGGCUUGCUACGGGUCCCGGCGGCCUUAAGCCGAUCUGGAUCCUAGCGCCGGUAGCGGUCCGAUUUUCGGGUCGUUACAUUGAUCUUCGUUCUAACUGUGCUAAGGAAUGGUCUCCCUAAAUGUUCAAAAUGUUCAAUAGCAAGGUUAAGCUGCAAAACUUUAAUGUGGAAGACUUAAUCCUCAAAAGAAUGGAUAUAACAAGCGGCAAUGCGGGGUCUGGUGAGGUGGGCAAGAACUAGAAAGAAUCGUUUAAGGUCUCAAAGAUUAUUCAUCCAGGGUCAUAUAAGCUAACCAAACUAGAUGG